GUUUCGAUUUUGAUUUUGAGGUCGGAGCGGGCGGCGGCGGCGGCGGUGUGGGGGGAGGGGGUGGUGUGCGGCCGCUGACAGAAGAGAGUGAGCACAUAGCAGGUGCUGCCGGCACCGGAGGGCGGAGGGUGCCGGCGCUGUUGCGUGCUCACUUCUCUCUCUGUCAGCCCUCGUUUCUUGGAACUCGACCACCGACGCCCGACCCACCCACCCGCCUGCCUGCGUGCCUGCCUGCCUGCUGCACUUUUUGUUAUUCUUUCUUUUCUCUUCCCUUCGAAUUUAAACGGUGCUUUGGGUUUUUUUAUUUUUAUUUUUUUGUGGUGUUUCUCGAUUCUUUCUCUGUCUGGAAACUGUGUGAUUUGAUUGAUGAGUGUACGCCCGCCCUUAUCUUUUCUAGUUCGUCUGUCAGCUCGCGCAUCGAAGGAAGGGAUGUGUGUCGCCAUGACGACUGCUACUUUUUUUUUUUUUUGUGUUUUGUUAUAUUAAUUUUUCCCUUUCCCUUUUCCCUUUUUUUCCUUUUCUCUUUUUUGUUGUGGAUUUUGUGAUGUGCAGGAGGAGGAAGUAGAAAAUAAAAUCAUCGGAAAAUGGAGAGAGAGGAAGGGAGAGAGAGAGAAAUUUGGGGAAAGGCCCGAAGCGUGGAAGCGCGAGAAAUCACGAAGGGACGGAUCAGACGGGAUGCUAAAGACUUUUUACUGUUUCAUUGCUGCUGCUUUACAUUAUCAUAGAGAGGAGCAUCAUCUGCUGUUGCUUUAUGAUCCAGGAGAAUUUCCAUAUUUGAAGGUGCUUCUCAUACUAUUUAUGUUUUUGGCCCAACCACCAUCACAAUUACAAAGCAACAUAAUUUUUGUAAGUUUUUCCAUGCAUGCUUCUGUUGUUACCAGUCUAUUUAAUGUAUCUUUAACCUUUUUUUCUCAAUAAGAAAAUGAAUUUAUGCUGCUUUUUGCAUGAAGUAGGAAGAUAAGCAAGUUGUGGCAUAAUAUUCGAUUUGCGAACAGGAUGCAUAGCUUCCUAUUCUAAGUUGUCUUGUAAGUUUUUCAAUGACAACCAAAGUUGCCGGCAUUGUCUUGUAAGUUUUUCAAUCACAACCAAAGUUGACGACGUCAUCUUGUAAGUUUUUCAAUCACAACCAAAGUUGCUGACAUCGUCUUGUAGUUAUUCACUCAGAGCCUUUUAAGAUGCUCUUCACAUAGUUGUUAUGCCGAAUGAAAGAGAUUUUUAUU